rnacentral:rRNA from 1 species
CACGCCGUAAACGAUGGAUACUAGCUGUUGGGAGCAAUCUCAGUGGCUAAGCGAAAGUGAUAAGUAUCCCACCUGGGGAGUACGAACGCAAGUUUGAAACUCAAAGGAAUUGACGGGGGCCCGCACAAGCGGUGGAGCAUGUGGUUUAAUUCGAUGAUACGCGAGGAACCUUACCAAGGCUUAAAUGUAGAUUGACAGGACAGGAAACUGUUUUUUCUUCGGACAAUUUACAAGGUGC